rnacentral:lncRNA from 1 species
UUCUCUGCUGGCCUGUGCUGAUGCAAUCAGGUAUGUUUACAUGUUUUCCAUUAUGCCUAAAACAGAACUGACCAACAUGUGUUAAAUUCAAUUUCACUUUUAGAAAAUCACAAUUUGAGAAUAUCAACUCGAUUGACCCGUAUCAUAAGGUAUGGGGAUACCCAAACUCGUGGUGCAUGCCAGAUUAGUUUAAUUAAUCAUUAUCAUAUCGUUCAUGUUUUAUUAAUUUAUUA